rnacentral:rRNA from 1 species
CUUUCCAGAGAUGGAUUGGUGCCUUCGGGAACUUAGAUACAGGUGCUGCAUGGCUGUCGUCAGCUCGUGUCGUGAGAUGUUGGGUUAAGUCCCGNAACGAGCGCAACCCUUUUCCUUAUUUGCCAGCGGGUCAUGCCGGGAACUUUAAGGAUACUGCCAGUGACAAACUGGAGGAAGGCGGGGACGACGUCAAGUCAUCAUGGCCCUUACGGCCAGGGCUACACACGUGCUACAAUGGUCGGUACAAAGGGUUGCUACCUCGCGAGAGGAUGCUAAUCUCAAAAAGCCGAUCGUAGUCCGGAUCGCAGUCUGCAACUCGACUGCGUGAAGUCGGAAUCGCUAGUAAUCGCGGAUCAGAAUGCCGCGGUGAAUACGUUCCCGGGCCUUGUACACACCGCCCGUCACACCAUGGGAGUUUGUUGCACCAGAAGUAGGUAGUCUAACCGCAAGGAGGACGCUUACCACGGUGUGGCCGAUGACUGGGGUGAAGUCGUAACAAGGUAGGCGUAGAUGA